GACGAACGCUGGCGGCGUGCCUAAUACAUGCAAGUAGAACGCUGAAGGAGGAGCUUGCUUCUCUGGAUGAGUUGCGAACGGGUGAGUAACGCGUAGGUAACCUGCCUGGUAGUGGGGGAUAACUAUUGGAAACGAUAGCUAAUACCGCAUAAUAGCAGUUGUUGCAUGAUAACUGUUUGAAAGGUGCAAUUGCACCGCUACCAGAUGGACCUGCGUUGUAUUAGCUAGUUGGUGGGGUAACGGCUCACCAAGGCGACGAUACAUAGCCGACCUGAGAGGGUGAUCGGCCACACUGGGACUGAGACACGGCCCAGACUCCUACGGGAGGCAGCAGUAGGGAAUCUUCGGCAAUGGACGGAAGUCUGACCGAGCAACGCCGCGUGAGUGAAGAAGGGUUUCGGAUCGUAAAGCUCUGUUGUAAGAGAAGAACGAGUGUGAGAGUGGAAAGUUCACACUGUGACGGUAUCUUACCAGAAAGGGACGGCUAACUACGUG
rnacentral:rRNA from 1 species